CCUACGGGAGGCAGCAGUAGGGAAUAUUGCUCAAUGGGGGAAACCCUGAAGCAGCAACGCCGCGUGGAGGAUGAAGGUUUUCGGAUUGUAAACUCCUUUUGUUAGAGAAGAUAAUGACGGUAUCUAACGAAUAAGCACCGGCUAACUCCGUGCCAGCAGCCGCGGUAAUACGGAGGGUGCAAGCGUUACUCGGAAUCACUGGGCGUAAAGGGGGCGUAGGCUGGAUAGCAAGUCAGUUGUGAAAUCCUAUGGCUCAACCAUAGAACUGCAUUUGAAACUGUUGUACUAGAGUAUGGAAGAGGCAGGCGGAAUGCUUGGUGUAGCGGUAAAAUCCGUAGAGAUCAAGAAGAAUACUCAUUGCGAAGGCGACCUGCUAGAACAUAACUGACGCUGAUGCGCGAAAGCGUGGGGAGCAAACAGGAUUAGAUACCCCGGUAGUC
rnacentral:rRNA from 1 species